CUCUAGCUGACGAGUCCCAAAUAGGAUAAAACGCGUGUCCUGGAU
rfam:Schistosoma margrebowiei strain Zambia genome assembly, scaffold: SMRZ_contig0000704